GACCGAAUCGAGCAGCAAUAGAUAGAGGAAGGAUGUAAUCUUCAUUAUGCCUCUAAAACGAACAUCAUCUUGACUCUCCAGUGCCGUCGCCUCUCGUUAGGUAGAGAGCGAAGCCAACAGUCGAGCACAGCAACCGAAGAUUGAGACUCCCCCGCCAGCCCAGCUAGCACUGGUCACGACGGAUCAAUUCAGCUUGCUCUUCCAGUAGGUCCAAAAUUUGACGACCGUCGUUCAAGCGGU
rnacentral:lncRNA from 1 species